GGCUUUAAUAGUCAUUCAUUAUAUUAAUGUGUACACCUGAUUAAUACAGCAUAUUUACUGUAAAUUUUUUUAAUGAUUGGUUUUGCUGAUUGCAUAUUAAAUGACCUAAAUCCUGGCAUUUUUGGUAUAAUAAUAAUAAUAAUAAUAAUAAUAAUAAUAAUAAUAAUAAUAAUAAUGUAUAGAUUUCUUUUCUAUAGAAAAUGAUCUUUAAGGAAUCAAGUCUGGGUUGUCCUUAUUUGAAUCUUCAUUAGGGUUUGUGAACAGUGCACUGCGCCCCCUAGAGGCACCGUGGAGCAGCGCAGCAUCUCGCACAAAAGAUUUGGAUUAAUUUGCUUACUGCGCAAACAUUUCAGUAUGGCUCCUGCGUUUCCGGUUCACUCGAAACGAUUGUAUUUUACAGUCGUUGUCUGCAGAAGCUCCCGAGAGUUUGGAGUGUAGCUGUGGAGAAAUUGCCCAUUCAGCCACCAGAGCAUUAAUGAGGUCAGGCACUGAUACUGGCUUUUUGGGAGCAUUUUGAGGAUGACCCCUUCAUGUUCAAACAUCACUGCACACCAGUGCACAAAGCAAGGUCCAUAAAGACAUGGAUGAGAGAGUUUGGUGUGGAGGAACUUCACAGAGUCCUGACCUCAACCUGAUAGAACACCUUUGGGAUGAAUUAGAGCGGAGACUGCAAACCAGGCCUUCUCGUCCAACAUCAGCGCCUGACCUCACAAAUGUGCUUCAAGAGGAAUGGUCAAAAAUUCCCAUAAACACACUGCUAAACCUUGUGGAAAGGCUUCCCAGAAGAGUUGAAGCUGUUAUAGCUGCAAAGGGCGGGGAAACCCCAUAUUACAUUCAUGUGCAUGUAAAGGCAGAUGUCCCAAGACUUUUGGCAAUAUAGUGUAGUUUCUUGUAAAACAGUAUUAACAAGAGCAGAGCAUGUGUUAAGCAUAGUGAUGUACUUCGGUAUAGCUGUGUUAAAUAAAUAUCCUAAAUAAUAAAUCGCUACAGAAUGUAAAGUCUUCUACAUGAAUGUCAGCCAAUAAUUGUACCAAAAAUGCUGGACAAAAAUAUAAUGCUUAUUAUUGGCACCCCGUCCGGGGUGUCUCCUGCCCUGUGCCCCGAGUCCUCUGGGAUAGACUUCAGGUUCUCUUUGUUGGAUAAGUGAUACAGAACAUAGAUGGUGGAUGGAUUAUACUCAUCAAAGCUGAAAUUAAAGUAGUGUGUGACCCAAAGAAAUAUGUAAGAGGUUUACCACAAGUGUAAACCCACUUCCACAUCAUUACUAAACCCUGUGAAGCAGUCAUUCUGAAACUGAUAGUGCAGCGUGGUUUUGAAUGUUUGUUUCAACGUUA